UACAGAGGGUGCGAGCGUUAAUCGGAAUUACUGGGCGUAAAGCGUGCGCAGGCGGUUUUGUAAGCCAGAUGUGAAAGCCCCGGGCUUAACCUGGGAAUGGCAUUUGGGACUGCAAGGCUGGAGUACGGCAGAGGGAGGUGGAAUUCCAGGUGUAGCAGUGAAAUGCGUAGAUAUCUGGAGGAACACCGAUGGCGAAGGCAGCCUCCUGGGCUAGUACUGACGCUCAUGCACGAAAGCGUGGGGGGCAAACAGG
rnacentral:rRNA from 1 species